GCCCGGCUAGCUCAGUCGGUAGAGCAUCA
rnacentral:piRNA from 6 species